AGGACACAGAACAACAACCAGGACCAGAGGCGAAUGAUGAAUUGGAAUCAUCAGAAGCAGAAUCAGAAGAGGAAAAUGAUGAAUUGGAUCCCCCACCACCAGGAGAACCGCAGAAUGAUGAAACGGAUACAUCUGACUCAGGAGAACCGCAGAAUGAUGAAUUGCAAGCAGCAG